rnacentral:rRNA from 1 species
UACGAAGGGGGCUGGCGUUGUUCGGAUUUACUGGGCGUAAAGCGCACGUAGGCGGAUCUUUAAGUCAGAGGUGAAAUCCCAAGGCUCAACCUUGGAACUGCCUUUGAUACUGGGGAUCUUGAGUCCGGGAGAGGUGAGUGGAACUGCGAGUGUAGGAGGAUGAAAUUCGUAGAUAUUCGCAAGAACACCAGUGGCGAAGGCGGCUCACUGGCCCGGUACUGACGCUGAGGUGCGAAAGCGUGGGGAGCAAACAGG